CCUACGGGAGGCAGCAGUAGGGAAUCUUUCACAAUGGGCGAAAGCCUGAUGGAGCAACGCCGCGUGCAGGAUGAAGGCCUUCGGGUUGUAAACUGCUUUUAUAAGCGAGAAAUAUGAUGAUAACUUAUGAAUAAGGAUCGGCUAACUCCGUGCCAGCAGCCGCGGUAAUACGGAGGAUCCGAGCGUUAUCCGGAUUUAUUGGGUUUAAAGGGAGCGUAGGUGGAUUGUUAAGUCAGUUGUGAAAGUUUGCGGCUCAACCGUAAAAUUGCAGUUGAAACUGGCAGUCUUGAGUUCAGUAGAGGUGGGCGGAAUGCGUGGUGUAGCGGUGAAAUGCUUAGAGAUCACGAAGAACACCGAUUGCGAAGGCAGCUCACUGGACUGCAACUGACACUGAUGCUCGAAAGUGUGGGGAUCAAACAGGAUUAGAUACCCGGGUAGUC
rnacentral:rRNA from 1 species